rnacentral:piRNA from 1 species
UUGGUCGAGGUUAAACAGUGA